CCUACGGGAGGCAGCAGUGGGGAAUUUUGGACCAUGGGGGCAACCCUGAUCCAGCCAUUCCGCGUGAGUGAAGAAGGCCUUCGGGGUCGUAAAGCUCUUUUGUCCGGAGCGAAACGGGCGGCCCUAAUACGGUCGUCUACUGACGGUACCGGAAGAAUAAGCACCGGCUAACUACGUGCCAGCAGCCGCGGUAAUACGUAGGGUGCGAGCGUUAAUCGGAAUUACUGGGCGUAAAGCGUGCGCAGGCGGUUUUGUAAGCCAGAUGUGAAAUCCCCGGGCUCAACCUGGGAAUGGCAUUUGGGACUGCAAGGCUGGAGUGUGGCAGAGGGGACUAGAAUUCCUGGUGUAGCAGUGAAAUGCGUAGAUAUCAGGAGGAAUACCGAUGGCGAAGGCAGGUCCCUGGGUUAACACUGACGCUCAUGCACGAAAGCGUGGGGAGCAAACAGGAUUAGAUACCCUGGUAGUCCACGCCCUAAACGAUGUCGACUGGUUGUUGGGGGUUUGACACUCUCAGUAACGAAGCUAACGCGUGAAGUCGACCGCCUGGGGAGUACGGCCGCAAGGUUAAAACUCAAAGGAAUUGACGG
rnacentral:rRNA from 1 species